AACUGAAUAUCUUAUUACGUCAUUUCGGCCGAUGCCAUGUUAUUUAGUGCGAUUGCAAAAGGUUGGUCAUCUCGCUGUCGCAUAAUCUCUGUAAGUUCGAAAAACUUGAAGCUAUCCCAGAGACUAGAGCCAACAAUAGCACUGUAUGGAUUAAGCACUCCUGAUGAGGAUUUGAAUAUCCAUCGAUCACUUACUGGACAUAACUGCCUUAGAUUGUCGAACACGAUAACAGAAACGCCGCCAAAAGGACUUGAAAAAAUUUGCUUUAGG
rnacentral:lncRNA from 1 species